CAGCUCUAGGCGGUGGGUCACUCGGCUCGUGCGUCGAUGAAGAGCGCAGCCAGCUGCGUGAA
rnacentral:rRNA from 1 species